UACGGAGGAUCCAAGCGUUAUCCGGAUUCAUUGGGUUUAAAGGGUGCGUAGGCGGUAUAGUACGUCAGUGGUGAAAGCCUGUUGCUUAACAACAGAACUGCCAUUGAUACUGCUAAUCUUGAGUACAUUUGAAGUGGGCGGAAUGUGUCAUGUAGCGGUGAAAUGCUUAGAUAUGACACAGAACACCGAUUGCGAAGGCAGCUCACUAAGCUGUUACUGACGCUGAGGCACGAAAGCGUGGGGAGCAAACAGG
rnacentral:rRNA from 1 species